rnacentral:rRNA from 6 species
GGGUUGUGAGGUUAAGCGACUAAGCGUACACGGUGGAUGCCCUGGCAGUCAGAGGCGAUGAAGGGCGUGCUAAUCUGCGAUAAGCGCCGGUAAGGUGAUAUGAACCGUUAUAACCGGCGAUACCCGAAUGGGGAAACCCAGUGUGACUCGUCACACUAUCAUUAACUGAAUCCAUAGGUUAAUGAGGCGAACCGGGGGAACUGAAACAUCUAAGUACCCCGAGGAAAAGAAAUCAACCGAGAUUCCCCCAGUAGCGGCGAGCGAACGGGGAGGAGCCCAGAGCCUGAAUCAGCAUGUGUGUUAGUGGAAGCGUCUGGAAAGGCGCGCGAUACAGGGUGACAGCCCCGUACACAAAAGCGCAUGUGCUGUGAGCUCGAUGAGUAGGGCGGGACACGUGGUAUCCUGUCUGAAUAUGGGGGGACCAUCCUCCAAGGCUAAAUACUCCUGACUGACCGAUAGUGAACCAGUACCGUGAGGGAAAGGCGAAAAGAACCCCGGCGAGGGGAGUGAAAAAGAACCUGAAACCGUGUACGUACAAGCAGUGGGAGCACCCUUUGGGUGUGACUGCGUACCUUUUGUAUAAUGGGUCAGCGACUUAUAUUCUGUAGCAAGGUUAACCGAAUAGGGGAGCCGGAGGGAAACCGAGUCUUAACCGGGCGUUAAGUUGCAGGGUAUAGACCCGAAACCCGGUGAUCUAGCCAUGGGCAGGUUGAAGGUUGGGUAACACUAACUGGAGGACCGAACCGACUAAUGUUGAAAAAUUAGCGGAUGACCUGUGGCUGGGGGUGAAAGGCCAAUCAAACCGGGAGAUAGCUGGUUCUCCCCGAAAGCUAUUUAGGUAGCGCCUCGUGAAUUCAUCUCCGGGGGUAGAGCACUGUUUCGGCUAGGGGGCCAUCCCGGCUUACCAACCCGAUGCAAACUGCGAAUACCGGAGAAUGUUAUCACGGGAGACACACGGCGGGUGCUAACGUCCGUCGUGAAGAGGGAAACAACCCAGACCGCCAGCUAAGGUCCCAAAGUCAUGGUUAAGUGGGAAACGAUGUGGGAAGGCCCAGACAGCCAGGAUGUUGGCUUAGAAGCAGCCAUCAUUUAAAGAAAGCGUAAUAGCUCACUGGUCGAGUCGGCCUGCGCGGAAGAUGUAACGGGGCUAAACCAUGCACCGAAGCUGCGGCAGCGACACUGUGUGUUGUUGGGUAGGGGAGCGUUCUGUAAGCCUGUGAAGGUGUGUCGUGAGGCAUGCUGGAGGUAUCAGAAGUGCGAAUGCUGACAUAAGUAACGAUAAAGCGGGUGAAAAGCCCGCUCGCCGGAAGACCAAGGGUUCCUGUCCAACGUUAAUCGGGGCAGGGUGAGUCGACCCCUAAGGCGAGGCCGAAAGGCGUAGUCGAUGGGAAACGGGUUAAUAUUCCCGUACUUGGUGUUACUGCGAAGGGGGGACGGAGAAGGCUAUGUUGGCCGGGCGACGGUUGUCCCGGUUUAAGCGUGUAGGUGUGUGUUCCAGGUAAAUCCGGUUCACUUUAACACUGAGGCGUGACGACGAGGCACUACGGUGCUGAAGCAACAAAUGCCCUGCUUCCAGGAAAAGCCUCUAAGCAUCAGGUAACAUCAAAUCGUACCCCAAACCGACACAGGUGGUCAGGUAGAGAAUACCAAGGCGCUUGAGAGAACUCGGGUGAAGGAACUAGGCAAAAUGGUGCCGUAACUUCGGGAGAAGGCACGCUGACACGUAGGUGAAGUGAUUUACUCAUGGAGCUGAAGUCAGUCGAAGAUACCAGCUGGCUGCAACUGUUUAUUAAAAACACAGCACUGUGCAAACACGAAAGUGGACGUAUACGGUGUGACGCCUGCCCGGUGCCGGAAGGUUAAUUGAUGGGGUCAGCGCAAGCGAAGCUCCUGAUCGAAGCCCCGGUAAACGGCGGCCGUAACUAUAACGGUCCUAAGGUAGCGAAAUUCCUUGUCGGGUAAGUUCCGACCUGCACGAAUGGCGUAAUGAUGGCCAGGCUGUCUCCACCCGAGACUCAGUGAAAUUGAACUCGCUGUGAAGAUGCAGUGUACCCGCGGCAAGACGGAAAGACCCCGUGAACCUUUACUAUAGCUUGACACUGAACAUUGAGCCUUGAUGUGUAGGAUAGGUGGGAGGCUUUGAAGUGUGGACGCCAGUCUGCAUGGAGCCGACCUUGAAAUACCACCCUUUAAUGUUUGAUGUUCUAACGUGGACCCGUUACCCGGGUUGCGGACAGUGUCUGGUGGGUAGUUUGACUGGGGCGGUCUCCUCCUAAAGAGUAACGGAGGAGCACGAAGGUUGGCUAAUCCUGGUCGGACAUCAGGAGGUUAGUGCAAUGGCAUAAGCCAGCUUGACUGCGAGCGUGACGGCGCGAGCAGGUGCGAAAGCAGGUCAUAGUGAUCCGGUGGUUCUGAAUGGAAGGGCCAUCGCUCAACGGAUAAAAGGUACUCCGGGGAUAACAGGCUGAUACCGCCCAAGAGUUCAUAUCGACGGCGGUGUUUGGCACCUCGAUGUCGGCUCAUCACAUCCUGGGGCUGAAGUAGGUCCCAAGGGUAUGGCUGUUCGCCAUUUAAAGUGGUACGCGAGCUGGGUUUAGAACGUCGUGAGACAGUUCGGUCCCUAUCUGCCGUGGGCGCUGGAGAACUGAGGGGGGCUGCUCCUAGUACGAGAGGACCGGAGUGGACGCAUCACUGGUGUUCGGGUUGUCAUGCCAAUGGCACUGCCCGGUAGCUAAAUGCGGAAGAGAUAAGUGCUGAAAGCAUCUAAGCACGAAACUUGCCCCGAGAUGAGUUCUCCCUGAGACUUAGAGUCUCCUGAAGGAACGUUGAAGACGACGACGUUGAUAGGCCGGGUGUGUAAGCGCAGCGAUGCGUUGAGCUAACCGGUACUAAUGAACCGUGAGGCUUAACCUUACAACGCCGAAG